rfam:Pan troglodytes isolate Yerkes chimp pedigree #C0471 (Clint) chromosome 15, whole genome shotgun sequence.
UAUUAAGUUGAUGCAAAAGUAAUUGCGGUUUUUGCCAUUGAAAGUAAUGGCAAAAACAGCAAUUACUUUUGCAUCAACCUAAUA